rnacentral:lncRNA from 1 species
AAUUCCAAGUUUUCAAUUAUUAGUAUUACAACAGCUGUAAGACGUUUUCGUUUUGAUUUUUAUAAUUGGCUACAUAUGUAUAGCAUAUGUUACCAUUUUAAACCAGAGGUUUUUUAUAUUUUUUUAUUUUAUUUUUUAACCUUUUUCGGUUCCACUUCAUCUUUCAUUUGAAACAAAAAUGCACCACAAAAUAAAAAAACCCUGCCCAUAAAUUCUUGAUCAUUUUCCUGGACAGAGCAGAGCCUGAAUUUGAAGUUUAUGAGUUCUGAUAUGAAGUUUUUUGAGUUUUUGUGUUUAUGAUAUAUAUAUUUCUCAAAAACAUAUACAGGGUUUGCACCAGUAUUUCUCAUGCUAGUUCCGCCCCUUUAUAGUCCUUUGUGGUGGUAGAAGUCAAGAAACUUGUGGAGCCAAAACAAUGUUCUAUAUGAGGAAGAUUCAAGAAGAUUUUGAUUUUGCAGCAAUCAAGCAGAUGUUUGGAAAGCUAAUGCAAAUGCAAAUGGCUUGCUUUUCCAUCUCCUUAGUGGAUUCUAGAGUUCACAUUUUUUUCUUUAUAAUUUUUCUGUUUUGCUGUGUAUUUGAUUUUUGAUUGUGGUGUUUUGCUGCGAAAGGCGGUGGUUUGUGGUGGUGAAAGUGGCGGUGAUAUUGGCGGGGACGGCUCAAUCUUCUUUCAUGGUACCAAUAUUUAUCUAUAUCAUCAUGAUCUUGAUUUUAUCUAGUGCAAAAAUAUAUAUUGUAACUGUUGAUUAUGCAGCAGCAUUACAUUUCUUUUUGUCGUUCUCAAUGAUUUUCUCAUUCUAUAAAAAUAU